UACGUAGGGGGCGAGCGUUGUCCGGAGUACUGGCGUAAGCGCACGCAGGCGGUCUGCUAAGUUUGGAGUGACAGUUGGUGGCUUAACUGCCAAAGUGCUUCGAAAACUGACAGACUUGAGGGCUUCAGAGGGACACGGAAUUCCGGGUGGAGUGGUGAAAUGCGGUAGAGAUCCGGAGGAACACCAAAGGCGAAGGCAGUGAUCCUGGG
rnacentral:rRNA from 1 species